AAUUCUCAAAAACCUUUCUUUGGAAGGGAUUUUGGACUUGGAGGCCUUUUGCUGGUUUCACCUUGAAGCGAGCUCCUCCCAAAUGGAUUAGUGGGGUCUGCUUUGCCGAUCCUUGACGUGAUAAGAUGUUUCUACGUCUUGGGUUUGGCACUGUCACUCGGGCACCCGCUUCUAACCGUCUCGUCGACAACGAUGGCGUUCCGGUCACCACCGUUUCAUCGGUGGGAGGCUUGACCCACCAAAAAA
rnacentral:misc_RNA from 1 species